AUGGCUGAUCCAGGAUACUUGGGAAGCAGGCACAUGGUGGCCUCCAUGGAUGGCAACCAGCAGCAAACCCACAGCUGGACCUGCAGGGAUCCAGCACAGCAACAAAAUCCGAAGAUCAGUUUUGACAGAGUAAAAUACUACAAAUUACACUGUCAGAUGACCUCAUCACCCAGGGCUGGCAUGCUGGAUUGCAACAUUGCUGGAAGGAAAAGCAGGAGCACUACAGGAAUCUCUGCUCCAUGGAAAAGUGUUAUUUUUGGAUCCUCCGGGAAGGCGUGCCCAGAAAACCAGCGGCUCCCUGUCAGGAAUAUUGCUCUUGCUGUAUCUAAUCUGGAACUGUAAAUUGCAGAGAGGUACAAAUCCAAAACAAACAUUCUGAAGAAUUUGAGUGGAGCAGAGCCCCAAUUUCCAUUUCAGUGCUCUCUCUGUUGUCCAAUUUGUUAAACUCGAGUGGUC
rnacentral:lncRNA from 1 species